CCCCCCACACUCUUUUUCCCUCUUUUCCCUCUCUUUCUUUUUCCCUCUUCCUCUUUCUUUCUUCUAGCAAGCCGUUCAUCUCUCUUCAACGUUCCAGCCAACAUUCAUCUCUCUUCAACGUUCCAGCCAACGUUCAGCCACCUCUGACGUCGCCGACGCCGCUGACGGUAAACAACCAGCCGUGUCUCCUCUGCAAGUUUGUCUGGUAUCUUCGUGAGGUUCAUCUGAAGACCACUCUCUAUAUUUGAAUAACUCGAUAGUGGGUUUCCUAGCUUCACCUUAAAAUAAUGAUACAAACAAUUCUGAGCUCAUAUUUUUUCGUAGUGUGGUCCAGCUUACGGAACUCCCAAUAGGUUUGACUUCUUGUUCAGAAAAUGGAAGUUACAUCAGCAUAACCAUCACACUGGGGAAAAAGUGCUCCAUCUCAAACAUGACGGUCACACCAGUCAUCUAAAGUUUUGAGCUUAGAUUUUUGCUUCAGAAAGCAAUGUAAAAUUCAAAUAGAUCAUUUCAGGUAUCUGGAGAGAAAACCUCAGCACUGGCGUCCUAGUCAUAGUGUGGUGGUUAAGGAUAUUCAAGAUUUGAACAAGAUGACAAUAGCUCUGUACGUCACUCAUACCAUAAAUUUUCAGAACUAUCGGGACAAGAGCAGCCGAAGAUCCGAUCUAGUAUUAGAAUUGAAGAGAAUAUUUGAAGAACUUGGCAUAAAAUACCGGCUGCUGCCUCAAGAAAUUCAAGACAACUUUGUUGGUAACGCCACUGCUGCAGCAUUGCAUUCCACAUGGCGAUGAUCUUAAAUCCUUUCCUCUACAAGUACUUCUUCUUCUUCUCGAACAAAUGUCUAGUCUUUUCUUUCUUUUGAUUUGUCAAGAGUUUCAAAUUAUCUUUUUUUUUUGUGGUCCUGAGACCUUCGCCUUGUGCAAUGCCUUCAGUCUUGGGUUAUAAGUUGCUAGUCCUUAUCUAGAUAUUUGGUGGUAAAAUAUUAUAUCAAAUA